AGAUUCUUUCACAUAUUCAAUUCAUCUUGUCGAUCCUGGACUAUGACCACAUGUUCCCUGUGGCAGGGUCAUCAACACCGACUAAUCUUCUUGCGGUGAGUCCUUCAGGACAAUCAAUUGCCAACGUAUCUGCCCCCAUUGGCAGGGUCCUCAACAUAGCCAGAUCGAAGUUCAAUUAUUUUUCUAUUUCAUAAAUUCAAUCAUGAAAACAUGCAGUGUCAAAUCCAAAUAUUGUUCAUAUCUUAUUUUAUUUCAAUUUAUCAGAUUCAACUCAACAGCUAGGACUAUGGCCAUAUGUUCCCUGUGACAGGGUCAUAUCACCGACUAUUCUUCUUGCGGUACCAAUGUAUUAGCCCCCAUUGGCAGGGUCCUCAACAUAGCCUGACUGCAAGUCUGAAUCUAUUUC
rnacentral:lncRNA from 1 species